rnacentral:rRNA from 1 species
UCCGUAGGCGGGUUUAUAAGUCAGUGGUGAAAGUUUGCGGCUCAACCGUAAAAUUGCCAUUGAUACUGUAGAUCUUGAAUUAGUGUGAAGUGGUUAGAAUAAGUAGUGUAGCGGUGAAAUGCAUAGAUAUUACUUAGAAUACCAAUUGCGAAGGCAGAUCACUAACACUAUAUUGACGCUGAGGGACGAAAGCGUGGGGAGCGAACAGGAUUAGAUACCCUAGUAGUCC